rnacentral:tRNA from 1 species
ACCUGAGUGGCUCAGUGGGUUGAGCAUCUGACUUCGGCUCAGGUCAUGAUCUCACGGUUUCUGGGUUCGAGCCCCACAUUGGUC